UACGUAGGGGGCAAGCGUUGUCCGGAAUCAUUGGGCGUAAAGAGCGUCUAGGCGGUCCGGUAAGUCGGCUGUGAAAGUCCAGGGCUCAACCCUGGGAUGCCGGUCGAUACUGCCGGACUAGAGUUCGGAAGAGGCGAGUGGAAUUCCCGGUGUAGCGGUGAAAUGCGCAGAUAUCGGGAGGAACACCUAUGGCGAAGGCAGCUCGCUGGGACGUUACUGACGCUGAGACGCGAAAGCGUGGGGAGCAAACAGG
rnacentral:rRNA from 1 species